rnacentral:rRNA from 1 species
AGUGAACGCUGGCGGUAGGCCUAACACAUGCAAGUCGAACGGCAGCACAGGAGAGCUUGCUCUCUAGGUGGCGAGUGGCGGACGGGUGAGGAAUACAUCGGAAUCUUCCCAGUCGUGGGGGAUAACGUAGGGAAACUUACGCUAAUACCGCAUACGACCUUCGGGUGAAAGAGGGGGAUCGCAAGACCUCUCGCGAUUGGAUGAGCCGAUGUCGGAUUAGCUAGUUAGCGGGGUAAUGGCCCACCAAGGCGACGAUCCGUAGCUGGUCUGAGAGGAUGAUCAGCCACACUGGAACUGAGACACGGUCCAGACUCCUACGGGAGGCAGCAGUGGGGAAUAUUGGACAAUGGGCGCAAGCCUGAUCCAGCCAUACCGCGUGGGUGAAGAAGGCCUUCGGGUUGUAAAGCACUUUUGUUGGGAAAGAAAUCUUUCAGGCUAAUACCCUGGGAGGAUGACGGUACCAAAAGAAUAAGCACCGGCUAACUUCGUG